UGGAAGCUGGUUUCACAUGGUGGCUUAGAUUUUUCCAUCUCUGUAUCUAGCACCAUUUGAAAUCAGUGUUCU
rfam:Ophiophagus hannah scaffold3027.1, whole genome shotgun sequence.